UACGUAGGGUGCAAGCGUUGUCCGGAAUUAUUGGGCGUAAAGAGCUCGUAGGCGGUUUGUCGCGUCUGCUGUGAAAACUCGGGGCUUAACUCCGGGCCUGCAGUGGGUACGGGCAGACUAGAGUGCGGUAGGGGAGACUGGAAUUCCUGGUGUAGCGGUGAAAUGCGCAGAUAUCAGGAGGAACACCGGUGGCGAAGGCGGGUCUCUGGGCCAUUACUGACGCUGAGGAGCGAAAGCGUGGGGAGCGAACAGG
rnacentral:rRNA from 1 species